rnacentral:rRNA from 1 species
ACACUCCUACGGGAGGGCAGCAGUGGGGAAUUUUGGACAAUGGGCGAAAGCCUGAUCCAGCAAUGCCGCGUGCAGGAUGAAGGCCUUCGGGUUGUAAACUGCUUUUGUACGGAACGAAAAAGCUCCUUCUAAUACAGGGGGCCCAUGACGGUACCGUAAGAAUAAGCACCGGCUAACUACGUGCCAGCAGCCGCGGUAAUACGUAGGGUGCGAGCGUUAAUCGGAAUUACUGGGCGUAAAGCGUGCGCAGGCGGUUAUGUAAGACAGAUGUGAAAUCCCCGGGCUCAACCUGGGAACUGCAUUUGUGACUGCAUGGCUAGAGUACGGUAGAGGGGGAUGGAAUUCCGCGUGUAGCAGUGAAAUGCGUAGAUAUGCGGAGGAACACCGAUGGCGAAGGCAAUCCCCUGGACCUGUACUGACGCUCAUGCACGAAAGCGUGGGGAGCAAACAGGAUUAGAAACCCCAGUAGUCCCAUGAU